UAGUAUCAGCGUGUCAGCCGCCGCGGUAAGACGUAGGGCGCGAGCGUUGUCCGGAUUUAUUGGGCGUAAAGAGCUCGUAGGCGGCUUGUCGCGUCGAAUGUGAAAUCUCAGGGCUCAACUCUGACAUUGCAUUCGAUACGGGCAGGCUAGAGUUCGGUAGGGGAGACUGGAAUUCCUGGUGUAGCGGUGAAAUGCGCAGAUAUCAGGAGGAACACCGGUGGCGAAGGCGGGUCUCUGGGCCGAUACUGACGCUGAGGAGCGAAAGCGUGGGGAGCGAACAGGAUUAGAUACCCUGGUAGUCCACGCUGUAAACGUUGGGCGCUAGGUGUGGGGACCCUCUCCGGGUUUCUGCGCCGCAGCUAACGCAUUAAGCGCCCCGCCUGGGGAGUACGGCCGCAAGGCUAAAACUUAAAGGAAUUGGCGGG
rnacentral:rRNA from 1 species